UACGAGAGCCUCGAGCGUUAUCCGGAAUUAUUGGGCGUAAAGGGUGCGUAGGUUGUUCUGUUAGUCUUUUGUCAAAGCCCCGGGCUUAACCUGGGAUCCGCAAAAGAUACGGCAGAACUUGAAAGUGCGAGAGGUUUACGGAACUCAUGGUGUAGGGGUGAAAUCCGUUGAUAUCAUGGGGAACACCAAAAGCGAAAGCAGUAAACUGGCGCAUAUUUGACACUGAAGCACGAAAGCGUGGGUAGCGAAUGGG
rnacentral:rRNA from 1 species